rnacentral:misc_RNA from 1 species
UUUCACGUUGCAAUACGUGCCCAUUUUCUUUGCUCGCACGCAAGUUCGUGGCUCUAGUCUACAAAUCGUUUUUUCGCAAAAUAAAUUUGUUAAAUAAGAACUAAGUAAUUUGGUUCUUCUAAAGAAAUUUAAGAAACUAAUAUUCUUGUUAUGCGAUUGUUAAUUGUUGUAAAAUAACAUCAACACCAAAAUUUGCUAUUACAUUAGUAGGCAAUGAAAAAAUGCAGGUAGAAUAAAAGCAAAGAAAAGUGUUAAAGCAUUAAGUGAAAUUUUGGAGAAAAUAGAAAAGAAGGAAAAUACAUGAAACAGCAAAGGAAAUAAAGUAAUCAAACAAAGAAAAGUGAAGUGAAACAAGGCAAAGCAAGGCGGAAAAACGAUUUUUUGCAAAACGCACACGCAAACGAAGACGAGAAGCGAAGCGAACUAGCGAACGGACAAGUUACGAGCAAUUGAAAAUUGUUAACACGGUUGGAGAGGUGUGUGGGAUAAAAAAGUGAAAACUGUUUGUUGGGCGUCAAACGGUGCACAUAAAUUUUUAGUGAAUAGAUAUACGUGCAUGAAUUAUAGGUAAAGCAUAACUGAGUAACUGAACGUGCGCCGGUGCUCCAUCAAAAAGAAAAAACUUCAAAAUUCUUAGCUACGGCAGCAAUUCUUACAAUAACGCUUAUAACAACUCUAUCGUCACCACCACGCUCCAUAAGCAGCCCGCAGUGCCGCCACUACCACCUCCAAUUAUGUUUGUCAAUUCGAUGACGUUUCGCGGCAAUCCUGCCCCCAACCAUCAUUACGCUGGCCACCCAUUGGCUACGGCACAUCAUCCACAACAACCGCAAUUGCACCAUCAUGCUACAACUGGACAAGCUGGCGGGCCAAUGGCUCACCAUCCAUCGGCGGCACAUGGUACGCAUCCGGGUGCCCAUCCCGGCUCAGCCAACAACAAUAUUCACCAUGCUGCUUCGGCUAUGAAUCGUCAUGCACCUCAUGCGCCCAUGGGUAUGGGUAGCGGCAACAUCACUUCAAUGUCGCCUCAUAUGCCAAACAAUGGCAGUGGCAUGCCAGGUAGCGGCAGUGGCAGCGGUGCAAGCUCUAGCUCACCGGAUAGUGGUAAAAUUUAUAUCAAGAAUUUGGAACGCUCCAUUGACAACAAAGCAGUCUACGACACGUUUUGCGUGUUUGGUAACAUUUUAAAUUGUAAUGUUGCCAAGGAUGAAGAUGGCAAUUCACGCGGCUAUGGUUUUGUGCAUUUCGAUUCAGAAGAGGCUGCACGUAUUGCUAUUUCAAAGGUGGACGGAAUGUUGUGCAAUAAUCAGAAGGUGCAAGUUGUAAAAUUCAUACCACGCCGUGAUCGUGAACAAGAAAAGGCAUCGCAAUUUAGGAAUCUCUAUGUGAAGAAUCUCAGCGAAGAUUUCACUGAUCAACAUUUACAUGAAAUGUUUGAACCGUACGGACGCAUAACAAGUCACCGGGUGAUGCUGGAUGAAGAGGGCCGCUCUCGCCGUUUUGGUUUUGUGGCUUUUGAAAGCCCACAAUCGGCUCUGGCAGCUGUUAUCGGUCUAAAUGGUAAGCAAUUAGGAGACAAUAAGUUCUUGUACGUUGCACGUGCACUGAACAAAGUCGAACGCCAACAGGAGAUCAAUCGAAAACUCGAAGAACGUAAACGGCAGAAGGCUGGUCAAGUAUUCUACUAUUAAAUGAAAAAAUAUAAAGGAUGCAAAAUUAAAAAAUAACCGUUGAUGCAGAUAAGGAUGAAAUAUGAGCCGAAUAUUGAUUGCGAAGUGGAUUAGUGAUGAAUAUUGGUUUCGAGCUCAUGAGGUGAAAUUUUAGUUGAAUCGACGAAAGUUGAUAAAUGAUCAUGAUAAAUGAUGUAUCCACACAUACAUAAGAACUUUCGCAGGCGAGUCGAUGCAACUUGAUUGAAAGAAAUUUUCGAAUAUCGUAUAUAAUUAAGAAUUAUUAAAAAUUUAAAAUGAAUAUUAUAAAAAUAACAACUAAAUACACAUACAUACAAACAAAUACAUAUAUGUACAUGUAGAGAUGUAAAAUUUAAAGCAAAUUAUGGGAUUUUUCAAUUUUGGUUUUGAUGUUAAAUGAAAGUUUACAUUAGUAAAAACAAAAAAAUAAAAUAAACAAAUAAAAAAAAAAUGUAUUGCUUAUUGUUAACUUUUAAAAACUAAAAAUAUUCCGCAAGUAAAAUUGGAAAAAAGAAAUCAACUACAACAAUGAAAAAUGAAUGGAAAAGUAAACUUUAUAUAGAAACGCCGUUUAACGUUGAUUACACAGUAGAAUUUAUGAAUGUCACAUUGAGCUCAUCUCAAUGAUUUGCAGCUAAAAUUAAACAUAAAUUUAACUUCAAAUUAAAUGGCAUAUGUAUGUAUGUCUCUAUCUAUAUAUAUAUAAAUAUUACUAUUAUAGCUACUAUUACAAUUAUUCAUGCACUCCUCCUAAAUGUACACAACCAAACAAAAUUUUACACACACACACACGCAGCUUAAAGAAACACAUACUCACACAAACACACACAUACAACCAUGUUUGCUUAUAUACAUAUGUAUAUGUAAAAUGUAUAAUGAAUUUUGUCACGAAUCGGCAAGAAAUUAAUAAACACUAUUGAAAACAUGAAAAAGCACAUUUCAUAAAUUUGAAAGAAGAUAAUGACGCGAGAAACGCUAAUAUUAACAUGAAAGUACAUUUAUAUUAAAUUACUCACUUUGCAAAAACAAAAAUAAUAUUUGUAAUAUUAAUGAUCCCCAAUUCCAUAUUAUGUGUAAGAGUAUUUAAUUGUAUUGCAAAAAGUAAAAUAAAAAUAAUAAAAACAGAAUCGUAUUAUUAGGAAAAAAAAUAGAAAAGGACGUAGGAACAACGUAAGAUGUCUAAAAACAAAAACAAAAAGAACGGCAGAAACCCAAAUGCAAGAAAAGGCAACAAAUUUUAAGCGUAGUUGUAAAAUCGAUUCAAAAUGCAAGAAACGUGUAUUUACUGUAAUUAAAAAGGCGAAGAAAAAUAAUACUGGCAUAAAACAAAUAAAUGAAUAUAAAAUGAUAAAAAAAACAAAAAUAUGUGUAAUCAAAGGUGUAGAAAAACAAAAACAAAAAAUGUAAAACAAAAGGUAAACAUCAUGAAAACAUUAAAUUAAGCGAAGAGAAAAACAAACGCAAAGCACAGAAAUCCAGAUGAAGUAAAUAAAAAUAUGACUAACCGUAAUUUAUUUUAUUCUAAUUAACCCAAAAAAAUACUGGUAAUAGGAAAAAAAGUUAUGAUUGAAAUUAUUAUACUAAAUGUUCCCAAAAAAUUUUAACAUUUAAGUUCUUAACGUAGACAAAAUGUAUAGAUAUUACACAAAGAAACACACAAAUGAAAAUAAAUGUAAAAAAAAGAAUACAAAAAACGCAAGUAAAACAAAAAACAGAAAGGACAUUAAUGAGUUAGUAAAGGAAAACAAAAACAAAAGAAAAGCGAAGUAAAUGCAUAUACAUAUGAGAAGCAAAAGAGCAGCAAGAAAAAACUGAAAAUUUUAUUAUUAAGCAAAUGAAAAUUUACUAUAUAUUUUUACUAGACGAAAUGCAAUUGCAAUUCUUUCCAUUACAAAACCCCUUUUACUCCCCUCUUCCCUUAAAAAUCUAUAAUUACAAUAUGAUUAAAACAAUGUAUACAUGUUGUAUAAAUAUGAAUUUAACUAGUAAUUAUUUUUUAUUGAAACCAAGGUGUUGCAAAAAUAACUUAAAUGAUGAAAAACAACCAAACUGUAACGAAUUGAAUACAAACUACUAGAAAAACAACAAGUAAUUUAGAAAAAAACUAAAUAAAACAAAACUGGCAGUAAACAAAGCAAAAAAUUAAAAUUAAAUAAAAACCACAAAGACAAAAACAAAAACAAGAAAAGUAAAGACAAACGUAAUAACAAUCGAAUGUUACAAACUUGCCUAAUGGCAGAAUCAUAGCGGUAACCGGCAGCAGUGGCCACAAAAUAUAUGAGAAGAAUAAGGAGAAAUGAAAUAAAAUCUACGCUUUUACAUUUUAACUUCAUGGGCAGCUGGGGAGAGGGUGAGACUUUUUCCUCUUUAAUCGCCACUGCCAUGCCCAAGAGAAUCGUCGUUGCUGUCAUUACCCUAUGAUUCGGCUGUACCAUAUUUAUAUGUUAAAUGCAAAAAUAAAAUACACAUGUAAAAACAAACAGCUCGAAAGGUGAAAAUUUUUGAACAUCACUUAGAGCCAUUUUCUAUUUUUUAUUGCAGUAAAUUGUUGUAACGUUUUCGAAUUUCUCUACAAGCAAGCAAUUGGUCUCGUAGACAUUCAGUUAUACAUUCUUGUUAAUGACUAUUAACCACAUACUAUAUGUACAUACAUACAUAUACCUUAUUUUAUUCUUUUAUUUCUUAAAUUAAGUUUAAGUAUGACGCAUUUUAGCGGCAACUAUGAUGACUUUAUUAUAUUUUGGUUUUUUUCUUAUUAUAUAUUCAUACAUUGGGAUUUACAUUGACAAACUGUUAUACAAAAAUAAAUAAAUGAAUAAAUAAAUAAUAAUAAUAAUAAUGGGAGUGAUAAAAUAUUGAAAUAUCGGCAAAAAGAAAAAAUAUACACAGUAGCCAAAAGAGAAUCGACAAAGAUUAAAGACAUCUAAGAUGCGAUAAAAAGUAUUACGCCUGAGGUAUAAUACAGAAGAAUACAAAGCAGCACGAUUGUGUAAAUGUAAAGCAUUUGCAAUAAAAAUAAAACAUAGACACAUACACACAUAGAGUGUGGAAUCGCGUUAAAUAACCCGAUAUGGGAGGCGAUUUUGUUUUCUUUGCAUUUAAUGCACAUACAUAAGUAUAAAUGAAUUGUAGCCUCGUGUUUGUUUGUUUUGCGAUAAUGAUUGGAUGUUUCAGUGUCCCACACACCCUCCUAAAAAACACUUUAAAAAUAUUUUAACAUUGUGAACGCCUAAAAGCAGGUCAAUAAAAAAGUGCGACACAUUUACAUGUCGAUCUGUUCACUGCGUAAAUAUGCCGUUAAUGUACAAUUUGCUAAAAAAUAUAAAUAAAACAAGCAACUAUGCAUUCAAUUUCAAAUAGCAGCAAAACACAUUAAAUGAAUCAGUGCAGUCAGUAGUAAAUUUUUU